UACGUAGGUGGCAAGCGUUAUCCGGAAUUAUUGGGCGUAAAGAGCGCGCAGGUGGUUGAUUAAGUCUGAUGUGAAAGCCCACGGCUUAACCGUGGAGGGUCAUUGGAAACUGGUCGACUUGAGUGCAGAAGAGGGAAGUGGAAUUCCAUGUGUAGCGGUGAAAUGCGUAGAAAUCAGGAGGAAUACCAGUGGCGAAGGCGGCUUUCUGGACUGACCCUGACGCUGAGGUGCGAAAGCGUGGGUAGCAAACAGGAUUAGAUACCCU
rnacentral:rRNA from 1 species